GACGAACGCUGGCGGCGUGCUUAACACAUGCAAGUCGAACGGAAAGGCCCUGCUUUUGUGGGGUGCUCGAGUGGCGAACGGGUGAGUAACACGUGAGUAACCUGCCCUUGACUUUGGGAUAACUUCAGGAAACUGGGGCUAAUACCGGAUAGGAGAUCCUGCUGCAUGGGGGGGGUUGGAAAGUUUCGGCGUUUGGGGAUGGACUCGCGGCUUAUCAGCUUGUUGGUGGGGUAGUGGCUUACCAAGGCUUUGACGGGUAGCCGGCCUGAGAGGGUGACCGGCCACAUUGGGACUGAGAUACGGCCCAGACUCAUACGGGAGGCAGCAGUGGGGAAUAUUGCACAAUGGGCGGAGGCCUGAUGCAGCAACGCCGCGUGCGGGAUGACGGCCUUCGGGUUGUAAACCGCUUUCGACUGUGACGAAGAGUGAGUGACGGUAAUGGGUAAAAAAGCACCGGCUAACUACGUG
rnacentral:rRNA from 1 species